CAGUAGCCACGGGAAUACAGAGGGUGCAAGCGUUAAUCGGAAUUACUGGGCGUAAAGCGCGCGUAGGUGGUUCGCCAAGUUGGAUGUGAAAUCCCCGGGCUCAACCUGGGAACUGCAUCCAAAACUGGCGAGCUAGAGUAUGGUAGAGGGUGGUGGAAUUUCCUGUGUAGCGGUGAAAUGCGUAGAUAUAGGAAGGAACAUCAGUGGCGAAGGCGACCACCUGGACUGAUACUGACACUGAGGUGCGAAAGCGUGGGGAGCAAACAGGAUUAGAUACCCGUGUAGUCCCUGUCUCUUAUAC
rnacentral:rRNA from 1 species